GUGGUUGUAGUUUAGUGGUAAGAAUUCCAUGUUAUGGCCGUGAAGACCUGGGCUCGAAUGCUAGUGGCCACA
rnacentral:tRNA from 1 species